AACGAACGCUGGCGGCAUGCCUAACACAUGCCAGUCGAACGAGACCUUCGGGUCUAGUGGCGCACGGGUGCGUAACGCGUGGGAACCUGCCCUUAGGUUCGGAAUAACUCCCCGAAAGGGGUGCUAAUACCGGAUAAUGUCUCGGAACAAAGAUUUAUCGGCUUUGGAUGGGCCCGCGUUGGAUUAGCUAGCUGGUAGGGUAAAAGCCUACCAAGGCGACGAUCCAUAGCUGGUCUGAGAGGAUGAUCAGCCACACUGGGACUGAGACACGGCCCAGACUCCUACGGGAGGCAGCAGUGGGGAAUAUUGGACAAUGGGCGAAAGCCUGAUCCAGCAAUGCCGCGUGAGUGAUGAAGGCCUUAGGGUUGUAAAGCUCUUUUACCCGGGAUGAUAAUGACAGUACCGGGAGAAUAAGCUCCGGCUAACUCCGUG
rnacentral:rRNA from 1 species